GUCAAUCUUUCUAGAGAGUUCUGUUUUCUAAGUUUCUCGUUAGGAAUUUGUUUACUGACAUACAUAUCACACCACUUACAAAAUGAAGCUGAAAAAACUGGUUCAAUUGUUUAUGAGUUGGUACAUCUCAAUCCUGACACAAGUGAAGAGAUAAUACUUCAUGGUCUUCAAAUACUGAAUCAAAAGGUUCAAAUAACGGCAGCUGGCCUUUUCACUAUUGACUUUGACAUCACUCCUGAGAUUAUAAUCCUGUUUGUUACACAUCUUUCAGUAUUUAUACAAAUUAACGA